rnacentral:rRNA from 1 species
ACGAACGCUGGCGGCGUGCUUAACACAUGCAAGUCGAACGGGCCCGCUCUCUUUUUUGGGGGUGGGUUGAGUGGCGAACGGGUGAGUAUCACGUGAGUAACCUGCCCCCUGCUCCUGGAUAACUGCUUGAAAGGGCGGCUAAUACGGGGUGUGCCGGCUGGUCCGCAUGGGCCUGGUCGGGAUAGUUUCAUCUUCGGGUGUUUCGGUGGGGGAUGGGCUCGCGGCCUAUCAGCUUGUUGGUGGGGUGAUGGCCCACCAAGGCGGUGACGGGUAGCCGGCCUGAGAGGGUGGGCGGCCACACUGGGACUGAGACACGGCCCAGACUCCUGCGGGAGGCAGCAGUGGGGGGUAUUGCACAAUGGGCGGAAGCCUGAUGCAGCGACGUCGCGUGAGGGAUGGAGGCCGUCGGGUGGUGAACCUCUUUCUCCGGUGGUGAAGGCCCUGUCCGUUGCGGCGGGGUUGACGGUAGCCGGGUAUGAAGCGCCGGCUAACUACGUG